rnacentral:rRNA from 1 species
UACGAAGGGGGCUAGCGUUGUUCGGAAUUACUGGGCGUAAAGCGCACGUAGGCGGAUAUUUAAGUCAGGGGUGAAAUCCCAGAGCUCAACUCUGGAACUGCCUUUGAUACUGGGUAUCUCGAGUAUGGAAGAGGUGAGUGGAAUUCCGAGUGUAGAGGUGAAAUUCGUAGAUAUUCGGAGGAACACCAGUGGCGAAGGCGGCUCACUGGUCCAUACUGACGCUGAGGUGCGAAAGCGUGGGGAGCAAACAGG